UACGAGGGGGGCAAGCGUUGUUCGGAAUUAUUGGGCGUAAAGGGCGCGUAGGCGGGUACUUAAGUCAGAGGUCAAAUCCCAGGGCUCAACCCUGGAAUUGCCUUUGAUACUGGGUACCUAGAGUUCGGGAGAGGUGUGUGGAACUCCGAGUGUAGAGGUGAAAUUCGUAGAUAUUCGGAAGAACACCAGUGGCGAAGGCGACACACUGGCCCGAUACUGACGCUGAGGCGCGAAAGCGUGGGGAGCAAACAGG
rnacentral:rRNA from 1 species